rnacentral:tRNA from 1 species
GACAGGUGGCCGAGCGGUUGAAGACACUAGUCUUGAAAACUGGAGAUGGGUUUACUCAUCCGUGGGUUCGAAUCCCACCCUGUCC